UACGAAGGGGACUAGCGUUGUUCGGAAUCACUGGGCGUAAAGCGCACGUAGGCGGAUGUGUCAGUCAGGGGUGAAAUCCCGGGGCUCAACCUCGGAACUGCCUUUGAUACAGCACGUCUCGAGUCCGGAAGAGGUGGGUGGAAUUCCUAGUGUAGAGGUGAAAUUCGUAGAUAUUAGGAAGAACACCAAUAGCGAAGGCAGCUCGCUGGGAUGGUAUUGACGCUAAGGCGCGAAAGCGUGGGGAGCAAACAGG
rnacentral:rRNA from 1 species